UACAGAGGUCUCAAGCGUUGUUCGGAAUUACUGGGCGUAAAGGGUGCGCAGGCCGCGCGUGCAGUCAAAUGUGUAAUUCAGGGGCUCAACCCCUGCACUGCGCUUGAUACUUCCGCGCUCGAGCUUUGGAGAGGAGUCUGGAAUUCUCGGUGUAGCAGUGAAAUGCGUGGAUAUCGAGAAGAACACUUAGGGCGUAGGCAAGACUCUGGACAAAUGCUGACGCUCAUGCACGAAGGCUAGGGUAGCGAACGGG
rnacentral:rRNA from 1 species